rnacentral:rRNA from 1 species
AUGUUCUUCUUCUUCGUGGGCGGCGUGGAGCAGGGCGCGGGGCGGGUGCUCAAGGAGGCGGCCGGGCGGUGCGUGCGCUGCGGCGGCGCGGCCGACCUGGUGGAGACCGAGAAGGUGCUCAAGCUCUUCUUCGUGCCGGCGUGGCGGUGGCCGGGCAAGGACCCCGCCUACCUCUGCCGCGACUGCGGCCUCCUCGCGCCGGGGUCCCUCGGCGGCGGGGAGCCGGGCCCGGGACCGCUCCUCCCCCGCGCGGGGGCGGCGCAGUGCGGCGCGUGCAGCCGCGCCGUCGACCCGCAGUUCCGCUUCUGCCCCUUCUGCGGCUCCGCGCUGUGA